rnacentral:rRNA from 1 species
AGCAGCCGCGGUAAUUCCAGCUCCAAUAGCGUAUAUUAAAGUUGUUGCAGUUAAAAAAGCUCGUAGUUGAAUUUCGGGAUCAGUACGCCGGUCGUGCCUCCGGUAUGUACUGGUGUUACUGGUUCCUACCUUCUGACGAACCGUCAUGUCAUUAAUUUGGUGUGGCGGGGAAUCAGGACUGUUACUUUGAAAAAAUUAGAGUGUUUAAAGCAGGCUCGCGCUUGAAUACAUUAGCAUGGAAUAAUGAAAUAGGACGUUCGAUCCUAUUUUGUUGGUUUCUAGGAUUGACGUAAUGAUUAAUAGGGAUAGUUGGGGGCAUUAGUAUUCAAUUGUCAGAGGUGAAAUUCUUGGAUUUAUUGAAGACUAACUACUGCGAAAGCAUUUGCCAAGGAUGUUUUCAUUAAUCAAGAACGAAAGUUAGGGGAUCGAAGACGAUCAGAUACCGUCGUAGUCUUAACCAUAAACUAUAGCCGACUAGGGAUCGGGAUGAUGUUAAUUUUUUAAUGUACUCAUUCGGCGC